rnacentral:rRNA from 1 species
GAGUUUGAUCAUGGCUCAGGAUGAACGCUAGCUGGAGGCUUAAUACAUGCAAGUCGAGCGGGAUUGGUCAGCAAUGGCCAUGAGAGCGGCGCACGGGUGAGUAACGCGUACACGACCUACCUUUGACUGGGGGAUAGCCCUGGGAAACUGGGAUUAAUACCGCAUAUAAUUCUGAUUAAUAAAGGAUUGGAAUGAAAGUUCAGGCGGUCAGAGAUGGGUGUGCGUCUGAUUAGCUAGUUGGUGAGGUAACGGCUCACCAAGGCGAUGAUCAGUAGGGGGCGUGAGAGCGUGGUCCCCCACACGGGUACUGAGACACGGACCCGACUCCUACGGGAGGCAGCAGUAAGGAAUAUUGGUCAAUGGGCGAAAGCCUGAACCAGCCAUCCAGCGUGCAGGAAGAAGGCCCUAUGGGUUGUAAACUGCUUUUGUCAGGGAAUAAACCUGUGGAUUUAUCCGCAGCUGAAGGUACCUGAAGAAUAAGCACCGGCUAACUCCGUGCCAGCAGCC